AAUAUCGUCAAUUUCAAUCUUUUUUGUUUGAAAUUGGAUUUGGACGUUGUUGUGGCAAUUCAACUCGUCCUAAAUACAUUAGCGAAUCUGCCUUGAUCACGCACGGUGUGAUAAAAAAAGAACAUCGUUUAUGGUCGAAUAGAGUCGCUUCUAAUCGUCGAGAGACAAAUAUUAUAUGUC
rnacentral:misc_RNA from 1 species